CUCCUGACUGCCAGUGGGUGUUUGCGUCAAGUCAGAAUUCAGACCUUGAGCCGAAGGUCAGUGCUUUGUGAGCCCUUCUCGUUGGAGCCUGGCUUCCUGGGAGGAGGAAAAGGCUCUGUACUCCAGGAGUUGUGAGCUGUGGACUCAAGGCAGCUGCUUGUGCAGGAGCAUAGGCACAGCCUGGCGGGUGGAGCCUGCUGGAGUGUUGCUCACUGUGUUCCACACAGCCUCUCUGGUGUACCCAUUGGACGAUGAGCCUCCCGUCUUGACCACCUUCUCCAGCUGCCUGAGACCCCAAGCCUGCUGGGCUCCUGCUGAGGCGGCCAGGUUGAUUGUCAUGCA